UACGGAGGAUGCGAGCGUUAUCCGGAUUUAUUGGGUUUAAAGGGUGCGCAGGCGGCACGGCAAGCCGGCGGUCAAAUCGCGGGGCUCAACCCCGCCCAGCCGUCGGAACUGCCGGGCUAGAGUGGGCGAGAAGUACGCGGAAUGCGUGGUGUAGCGGUGAAAUGCAUAGAUAUCACGCAGAACUCCGAUUGCGAAGGCAGCGUACCGGCGCCCAACUGACGCUGAAGCACGAAGGCGUGGGUAUCGAACAGG
rnacentral:rRNA from 1 species